UUCGCAAUGCCCGAAAGGGUGACGAAGCGACGCCGCGUGUGGGAAGAAGGCCUUCGGGUUGUAAACCGCUGUCGGGAGUUAAGAAAUGUAAGGAUGUUAAUAGCAUCUUUGCUUGACUAAGGCCCCGGAGGAAGCCACGGCUAACUCUGUGCCAGCAGCCGCGGUAAUACAGAGGCGGCAAGCGUUGUUCGGAAUUAUUGGGCGUAAAGAGCACGUAGGCGGCUAUGUAAGUCGGUUGUGAAAGCCUUCCGCUCAACGGGAGAACAGCAUCCGAUACUGCAUGGCUUGAGUGCGGGAGGGGAGAGUGGAACUUCUGGUGGAGCGGUGAAAUGCGUAGAUAUCAGAAGGAACGCCGGCGGCGAAAGCGGCUCUCUGGCCCAUAACUGACGCUGAGUGUGCGAAAGCUAGGGGAGCAAACGGGAUUAGAUACCCCGGUAGUCCUAGCCGUAAACGAUGGGCACUAAGUAGAGGGGUUUU
rnacentral:rRNA from 1 species